AGUCGUAACAAGGUUUCCGUAGGUGAACCUGCGGAAGGAUCAUUAUUUGAUCUGAAUUGGCGGCAUUUGAAAAAUGCAGCCUUUUUGCUUUGUGAACUGUCUUGUACUGUUGUUUUUUUUAAUAGUUGCUUUUUUUCUUCGGAAAAAAAAAUAAAGACAACUUUCAGCAAUGGAUCUCUUGGCUCUU
rnacentral:misc_RNA from 1 species